rnacentral:lncRNA from 1 species
CCAGGUUCCCGCCAUCUACCCGCCCUUGACAAGCGCCAGUAGAAGUCAACAGGUGGUUGUCCAAAUAUAAAUGAAAAGGCUUAACUCUAAAACAUCGCUGUCUGAGGGGAUUUUUAGAAGACUUUACUCUGUGGUUUUGGCAGUGACCGUGUGUUUCUUUGCCAGCACAAAGAGAAAUUUGACCUGUGUCUCUCAGGAGUUAGAGAUUUUCAUCACUGCUGUCCCCACACUAGACCUAUCAACCCCUUCUCCACCCCAACAAAUCAGGAGACUCAAAGAAGAAUAGUGAGGAGAGAGAGAAAGAGAGAAAGGCUGAAGAAACAAGGGAUGGAAACGGUACAGGAAUGCUUACUUUCCCGCCACAGGAAGGCAUUUGUCUGCCUAAUGACCUGCAAGCAGGAAGGAUAUUCGGUAACCUCAUUUUGUUCUGUUGACCUUCGCCGGAGACACCUCAACUGAUCCUUUUAAAAGAAGAUGGGACAAUGAGCAUAAUGGGUGCUCAAGAAAACUUUCAGUUCAUUUUUCUCUGUCAGUUGAUUGUCUAUUUUAAUCCUUAAGCCUGUAAGUUUAAAUUUGUAUUUGUUCCACAGUCAUCUUUCAAACACUUCUGAUACACAAGGCUGUGUGCUAUGCAGGUGAGGAGACAAAGUAAACUCGUGUCCUGAGAGAGGCUCUGCUGUGGGGGCAGGCUCGGGGGGAGGCCGCAGUGUGCAAGACCGAGGUGGAAGCUGCACAGGACCAAAGGGCCAGGGAGACUGCCUAUGGCCGAUCUUUGUUGCCUCUUCUGCUCAGAAGCAUCUGGAUAAUACAAUUUUGGUUGCAGAUUUUGCUUAGUAUGUAUUUCUUCUAUUGAUGCACAUGAGUUGUGGUAUAUAUUGUGAGAGAGAUAUGGAUUGCUUCUAAAAAGGAUUCAAAUAAUGAAGGAAUGUUAUACGUGAUCUUUUUGAUUUUUCUUGAAUAAAUCUUAGGUUGUGGUGAAGUGGUUACUGCGGUGCUUUGACAAGCCUGACAUCCCUUUAAAUAGAUCACCCAUUCGGGUGUGCAUCAAAAUGACAGUCAUUCAAAGUCCUUCAUCGUGGGGGUGUUGCUGUAUUUGCAUCUCUCAUCAAAGCUGUCUUUUCUUUAUUUAGCACUUUUAUGUUUCAACGGGGGUGGUAGUGGUGUUGGGGGUGCUUCGCUUCUAUGGCUAUAGCUAAAACUGGGAGGUCAUCAUUUGCUAGUUUCUCUUUUCCUAUCAAUAUGUGAUAGGAAAUAUAAAAACAUCAAGAAAUAUGUUUAAUACAAAUAACUGAGCCUGCUAAAGUGAUACCAUUUUACCAAAUACACUUUAUGGGAGGAAUAAUAUUUAAUAUCAGCUUCAAAAGUCUGUAAAUCAAAAAUAAAAGAGAAUCUUUUAAGACCUUUGUCACAUCAUGAAGCAUGCAGGCACGCUUGUUAAUUCAUGAUGACAUUUUAACCAGUCCUGUUUUGCCAGGAGAGAUCAUGACAGGGCAUGUUCCCAUUUCUUAGGAGGUUUACAACUUCAACUUCACCCCUGUAGUCCAAAGAGAGUAACAGGCAUCUCAGGAGCCCCACUGUAUAGCCGCGGGGCAGAGCCGGCCAUUUCCUGGCUCAGGAGGGCAGUGUGAGGAGGGGCUCUGCAUCUUGACUUUUCUUCAUGUGACUACUAGAGAAUGCACCUGUGAGAAGUCUCCUACUGAGUCACAAAAGAAACAUCUAUUGGGAAAUUCUGCAGUACUUCUCAUCUUAGAACAGCAGAGAAGGAAAAGCACGCUAACUAGGUCAACUUUUUUCAAAUCAGGGCUAAUUAUGAGAAACUGCUACCUGUGUGCCUCAGCUUUGGAUUGGAAUAUGCUUCAAUGGUCACCUUUAUUCUACAGUUCCAAUAUCACCUACAUAGAUCAGUUUUUGUGGAGAAAUCCAGGGCUUCACCUUGGUAGAUUAAAUAUUGACUUAAAAAUGUAAACAUGUCAUACUAGUGUAGACAAAUCAUAAAUUCCUCGUGUCUAAUUUAUUUUGAUUACUGAAGAAUCUGAACUUGCAUAUUGGUUGGCUUUGUGAUUUUUAUGAAAUUAGAAAUGAUUAGCUGAGAAGUGAGAAAAAUAUUUGUUGCAGGAAUUUUACUUGUAGUAGCAUAUAUUGGAAACAAAUAUAAAAGCUCAUGAACUUAAAAAUGAGUGAAUAAACUAUGAUAUAUUCAUACAUGUAGUUAAACUACAGCUUCAUGUAUCAACAUUGAUAAAUCUCAACAACCAUAUUCAGUGAAAAAAGUUUACAAAAUUCUAGACUCUGCCAUACUAGUUGUCUAUUGCAGUGUAACAAAAUACUUCCAAAUGUAUCAGCUUAAAAGAAUACAUAUUUAUUUCAUCAUAGUUUCUGUGGGUCAAGGCUCCAGGAGUGGUUGAGCUGGUUCCUUCUGGCUCAGGAUCUCUCAUGAGGCUGCUUACAGGCUAUCUUCCAUGGCUAUUUGCAGGCCUCAGUGGGUCUACUUCCAUGUAUACUUAUGUGGGUCUUUCCCCAGGGCUGCCCCAUGACAAAGUGGGACAUAGCAGCUGGCUUCUCUUGUAAGUGAUCAACCAAGAGAGAGCAAGACAGAGAAUACCCAAAUGGAAAUUAGUCUUCUUAUCACCUACAUUUGGAAGUGACAUCCCAUUAUGUAUUCUAGUCAUUAGAGGUGAAUCUCUUAAGUCCAGCAGACACUCAAGGGGAAGGGAUUGCCCACAGGUGUGAGCACAAGGAGGCAUGGAUCAAUGGGCGCCAUCUUGGAGGCUGCCCACCACAACUGCUGUGUACUACUUUUGGAUAUACGGUAUGUGAGAAUAGUAUAAAAACACAGAACAAAAUUAUGUGGUAAUAUCAGUAAUAGUUUAAAACAUGUACACAAAAGAUAAUAAUUCAGAAUAAGGACUAGCUCUGGAAUGGAAGAAGAGAACAGCAUUGGAAAAGGGUACAUCAGGACACCAACUAUACAUCUAAUGUUUUAUUUCUCUUUAUUAAUUAAGUGUGGAAAAUGUUAUAAUUCAAUAAAUUUGGGAGACAAUAGAGGGAUGUCCGUUUUGUUAAUUUCUCAUUUUAAAUAGGUUUGAAAUAUUUCAUCAUAAAAAAUAAUGAGCAAAUUACAGAUAAUUAAAACCUUUUUAUGCUAUUUCCUUUGGGCUUGAAAGGUUGGGUUCAAGUGUUUGGCAAACAGAUGUCGGAAAUGAGGGAGAAAGAAGACUUGGCUCUUUGGUUUCCAGUUUUGCUUGGGUUUCACUUUACUGGGGGCUUGGGUGUCACAAAGUGACUGCUACUCAACCAAUCAAUAACAUUUUAGCAUUGUCUUAGGCUGAGUGUCAGGGAUGCUAAUUCACCCUCAUACUAUGAGAAGACCUGACUCUCACCUAAUUUGCGGGUGUGGGUUCUGGCAGAAAAAGGAGUAGCAAAGGAUGCACGAAUGA